UAAAUUAAAAUGUCAUGAAUCUACUAAAACUCAUUAAUUAGUCUUACAAAAAUGACAAUAGUAUAAAAGUAAUAAAAAAAAUAGAUCAUUAUUAACUAAAAUGAGUUCUUUUCAUCAACAACAAAUCACCAAAUAUCGGAAUUAUAUGCUACAAUUGAUAGACAUAGCUUUAUACCUCAGAAAACAAUGAAUUGCCUUCAGAGGCCACAAUGAAUCAAUUGACUCUAGGUUUUUAUUUAUAAAUUAUAUGCAAUAUUAUUUUAUUUGUUUCAAUUAUUAUUACAAACUGAAUAUGUUAAGGUAAUUUUAAAAAAUUAUGUAAACUGUUCUCAAAACAUGAUCCUGAUUUUGAAAAUAUUUAUCUACAAAAAAUUAAUUUAAGCAGCUGGAAAUUCUAAGAAGAGCUGAUAAAAAUGUGUGCUGGUGAAAUUAAAGAAACGAUUUUAUACCAAAUUGUUAAUGUUGGUUUUUUUGUCAUAAUGUAUGAUGAAGCAAGGUGUUAUAAGGAAGAAGAACUAUCAAUUUGCGUAAGAUAUGUAGUUAAUUUAUAAGUGUAUGAACGCUUUAUAGGAUUUGUUAACGUUUCAAGUGGUCAGGACGCAAAUCAUAUUUUAGCGGCUAUUACCAACUAUUUUUGAAGCUCAAAAUAUUGAUAUAAGUACUCUUAAAAUAGUAGUUCAGUCUUAUGAUGAAGCGAGUGUAAUGUCUGGGAGAUUUAAUGGUGUGCAAGCAAAAAUUAAAGAAUUAUAUCCUAGUGCAAUAUACACCCAUUGCAUGGCACAUCGUUUGUAUCUAAUUGUAGUAGACAUGUGUAAAAACAUAAAAGUUUGAGAAUUUAAAAAUAGUGCUCGUAAUAUGUUAAAAGCUGUAUUUGUUCACUUUUUACGUCCUAACCAUUUAAAAUUAUCAGAAAUCCAGUCAAAACUAGGAUUAAAAAAGAUAAUAUUUUAAGAAUUUGCGACACAAGGUGGGUUUGUCGUUACAAGAACUGUGAAACUAUACUGAACAAUUAUACAGCUAGAGUCAAUUUUUCAAAUAAUGAAAUAGAAUAACAAGCAGAUAAAGAUGUCGCUCAAGUUAUAGGAAUUUUGAUUUCAAUCCAAAAAAAACUGCAAAUCUUAGUACAUCUAAAAAUGUUAUUAUUGGUGUAAUAACAACUUUUGAAAACUUAAGAUCUGAUGAUGGAUUUUUAAAUUUGUGGAAAAAAGUAACGCAUAUAGCUGAAAAAAAUUAUGUAUGUUUAUAGAUUCCAUCAAAUGCUUCUAUGAUUACGUUUUAACAACGAUCACAAAAGUAGAAGUUUCAGCUUCAGAACAUGAAGUAUCAAAUUCAGUUGAAACGUUUUGGAAAAAUGUGGCAUAUAUGCGCAUCUUGGAUACUGUAAUUACUAAUUUAAAGUACAGAUUUUCAGAUGAAAGUUUAUCAAUGGCAAAUUUAAUUGACUUAUUUUGUAAUUUGGAUUAUACAAAUUCAUUGUACUCCAUUAAUCAUUAUAAGGAUAUUGUGGAUAUUUCAAUUGACAGUUUAAUGUCUGAAAUGGUUGUUGCUUACAAUUGUUUAAAAAUUAAAAAAUAUGAUUUUGAUUUUAACGAUUUGAAGAUGUAAUUGUAAAACAUAUCUACCAAAAUUUGUAUAAGUUGUUACAAAUUGCUAUAACCAUUAUAAUAAGUUCAGCAAUGUGCAAAUGAUCAUUUUCCUUGAAGAGGCGUAUUAAAAAUUGGCAGAGAAAUAGUAUGGGAGAAGAAAGAUUUAAUUAUUUAUCUAUUUUAAGUAUAGAAAGAUAUAUUAGUAAUACGAUUGAUACUCAAGGCAUUGUUGAUAGGUUUUCAAAAAUGA